CGGGUGGUAAUGCCGGAUGCUCCAGUUGAUCGCAUGGUCUUCUGGGAAAGCCUUUGCGGCAUGGGAUGGGGUCGCGUCCUAUCAGCUUGAUGGCGGGGUAACGGCCCACCAUGGCUUCGACGGGUAGCCGGCCUGAGAGGGCGACCGGCCACAUUGGGACUGAGAUACGGCCCAGACUCCUACGGGAGGCAGCAGUGGGGAAUAUUGCACAAUGGGCGCAAGCCUGAUGCAGCGACGCCGCGUGAGGGAUGGAGGCCUUCGGGUUGUAAACCUCUUUUGUUAGGGAGCAAGGCAUUUUGUGUUGAGUGUACCUUUCGAAUAAGCACCGGCUAACUACGUGCCAGCAGCCGCGGUAAUACGUAGGGUGCAAGCGUUAUCCGGAAUUAUUGGGCGUAAAGGGCUCGUAGGCGGUUCGUCGCGUCCGGUGUGAAAGUCCAUCGCUUAACGGUGGAUCCGCGCCGGGUACGGGCGGGCUUGAGUGCGGUAGGGGAGACUGGAAUUCCCGGUGUAACGGUGGAAUGUGUAGAUAU
rnacentral:rRNA from 1 species